rfam:TPA: Bos taurus chromosome 26, whole genome shotgun sequence.
UCCCUGGUGAUCCAGUGAUUAGGAUUCUGUGCUUCCAAUGCUGGGGGCCCAGGUUCAAUCCCUGGUCAGGGAA